rnacentral:rRNA from 1 species
GACGAACGCUGGCGGCGUGCUUAACACAUGCAAGUCGAACGGAAAGGCCCUGCUUUUGUGGGGUGCUCGAGUGGCGAACGGGUGAGUAACACGUGAGUAACCUGCCCUUGACUUUGGGAUAACUUCAGGAAACUGGGGCUAAUACCGGAUAGGAGCUCCUGCUGCAUGGUGGGGGUUGGAAAGUUUCGGCGGUUGGGGAUGGACUCGCGGCUUAUCAGCUUGUUGGUGGGGUAGUGGCUUACCAAGGCUUUGACGGGUAGCCGGCCUGAGAGGGUGACCGGCCACAUUGGGACUGAGAUACGGCACAGACUCCUACGGGAGGCAGCAGUGGGGAAUAUUGCACAAUGGGCGGAAGCCUGAUGCAGCAACGCCGCGUGCGGGAUGACGGCCUUCGGGUUGUAAACCGCUUUCGCCUGUGACGAAGCGUGAGUGACGGUAAUGGGUAAAGAAGCACCGGCUAACUACG